GUCCCUGUAAAGCAAUGAACAGUGCUUUGGACUUCUAAUCCAAAGGUCGUGGGUUCAAAUCCCACCUGGGAUG
rnacentral:tRNA from 1 species